CUUACAGGCACUUGUAAAGGACAAAUUCAUGUGGAACAGAAAGCUUAUGAGCUUUGGAGUCUGAAAAACUCAGGAUGAAUGGAGGAGCUGACCCAAUCCUGGGCCUUCUUGUCUGGGCCUCAGGGUGCUCACCUGUCAAAGGAUGGGAGUGAUCCUAUUUCAUGGAUCAUCAAGAGAAUCUCAUGAAGACCUUUACAUGACCAUUUUUCUGGGUCACAAUUCUUAAACCAGGAAAGUUGGAAAUACCUCAGCUUUUUAUGCCAGUCUCACUAACAGCUGCCAAGACAGAUGUGGGCCUCUCAGCUGUAGUCCUUCCUCCUCACGUCCAUAGAGUGUCCGAGAGAGUUAACAAGCUGAAUCCAGAAGAAGCAGGAGUCAGCAUCUUUGUUUUACAGGUGCACCUGCACAGUUUCCUGAGCCCACGCCUACCUGCCGGACCACCUGCCAGGCCAUUAGCAAGGCCAGUGGACAAACCACACACUUGGGUGUUCUUAGAGUCUGUCACUUUCGUGAUAGUGAGAUGCUCUGGGCUGCCUGCAACCCCUCCCAGUGUUUGCCAGACAACUGAGCUGGAGGCAGGGGUUCAUCUGGAAAAUGCCAGCAAGCAACAGAACGUUCUCAGACACCUUUUACCUAUGAGGACAGUGAGUCAUGGCCCUGAGUUUGUUGGGGUCUUUUUAUUUGCGCAUAUAUAUAUAUAUAUAUAUUCUCCCAAAGGCUUUGAAUAAGGUGCUCCAGCAGGAGAUGCCUGAGCCUCGCUCACACACCCAUCUUGCCCCUUCAGUGCUGACAGCCUUGAAUUCCGACUGCCGACCCCUCCUUUUGUGUCCUGAGGACCUUCCCUUGAGCUGGAGCCCCCCUUUGCCACCUGUGCUGCCCACCUAAGUGCUCGGGAACUUCAUGAAGCCCUGGAGAGCAGCCUCCCCAUAGUGGUGAGCAAGAGUUGGUGUAUAAAUACCCCAGCUCCCUUGCCCCUCAGGUGGGAUGAUCUGAGGUGUGUGUUCUUCAUUGGCUUCCAGAGCUUUCCGAGCAGACUGAAGCUUCAGUCACCCACGGUGGUGGGUGGUUUAAUAUUACAUGCUUUCUUGGCUGCCUUCCUUUCCCUGUCUCACUUCACCGUGCCCCUGCCAGCACUCCUGGGAUCAUCUUCCAAAUAAACUGCUCCAUCUGGAAUCUCUGUCA
rnacentral:lncRNA from 1 species